GAUGAACGCUAGCGGCAGGCUUAACACAUGCAAGUCGGAGGGGUAACAAGGAAAAAGUCUUGUCUUUUUUGCUGACGACCGGCGCACGGGUGCGUAACGCGUAUAGAAUCUACCUUUUACUAAGGGAUAGCCUUUAGAAAUGAAGAUUAAUACCUUAUAGUAUUGAGUAUUCGCAUGAAUAUUUAAUCAAAGAUUUAUCGGUAAAAGAUGGCUAUGCGUCCUAUUAGUUAGUUGGUAAGGUAAUGGCUUACCAAGACUUUGAUAGGUAGGGGUCCUGAGAGGGAGAUCCCCCACACUGGUACUGAGACACGGACCAG
rnacentral:rRNA from 1 species